AGCCAGCAGAGUGGAAAGCAGCUGCAGGCAAUAGAAGAGCAAUCUACAACAUCUGGAGUCUGCUGCAUACAUUUGGCCUUUUUUUUAAGUGUUCAUCCCAAAUGGAGAGUUGAAUGGGGAGUGUGCUUUCUACUGCUGACACACCAGAAUGUGUGAGGGGCUGUGGAUUUGGGUAGCAAAAGGAUUACUGUAAGGGUUUGGGUAGAAGCUGCUUCGAGGAUUGUUCCCAAGAGAGACUGCUGCUGAAAUGAGUAAAUUCCAAAACUUUUCUGGGACCACCUCUAAGAACAUGUAUUCAGAUCUAAAAGUGCCUCAAGUAUAGUCUGGAGAUGGAUGAGCUCUUUCUGCAUUGAGGCAGUACCUGUCCUUCCUGGUGUACGUCAUUCAAGCAGGAAUCACUGAAAAAUAAAAUGAGAGUAUCAAUUUCUUUCAUGUAAUCCCCAGCUCAUCCUCUCAGUUAAUGAUUUUCUGUUGCCACUUGCCAAGGCUGCACUUGAUCUGAUGCUUUCAGGUAUCAUCUUUUCCUGUUGUUCCUCAAGACUUUUGUUCUCCCAUGCAUUCUCAUUCAACUCUGCAGCUGUUUUCCUACCUCCUUAGAAUUCAUUUCACUUAUAAAUUAAUCUGUGGGGUGAAGGGCACAGUUAACUUUUUUUUUCCCCCUUCUAAUUGUUUCUCUUGUGUUUAUGGAUAAUUUCUUGACAUUUUUAUUUUCUUUCUUCCCUAUUUUCCUUGAUAAAUAUUUCACUGGUUCUUCAUGUGCCAUGUUUUGUUCCAUUGGUGAUGUGAUUUCUUAGUAAAUAAAAAUGAAGUAUACU
ensembl:lncRNA